CUCAAGUGUCUCUCAAGUUUUGGCAAUUUCAAGUCUUCUAGUUUCCAUGGAAAUAGGAAACAAUGAUCUCUGGGAGAUUAAGAGCGGGGAGAUAUCCACUCUAAUGGAGUUCUAGAGUUUUCUUCCUUUGAUAGUAUUUGUGAAUUGAGAGAAUGUUGGUGUGGAGGCAGGGCUUCGGUGUCAUCAACAAAUCUUUAUUUUUGUGCCUAUAAUGCAUCAGGCAUUGUUCUCUUCCAGGAAUGCCUCCACCUCCAAACUGCUACAUUAAAGAAAGUUUGCAAGUUCCCUGAAGGACAGAUACGGAAGAUUAUAAAACCAGCUUCUAGUUUGUCUCCAUGUGGAAGUUCAGCCUUCUGGCCUCUCCCGCACCUCUUCAGUAUCUAUCCUCCUACCGAGCACCCAUCUGAUGGAUCUCUCCCCACUGCAACCCACCCUCCUCUCCAGGACCACUUUUUCUUGCCUGUAAUUCUGGCCUUAGGAAUGCCCAGAGGAGAUCUGUACCCAAAAAGUAUGUUUGAGCAAAGCUAAGUCUCCAGAAUAAAGAUAAUCCCAAUUUACA
rnacentral:lncRNA from 1 species